AUCGCGCACACGAUAUUUCAUUGUCAAGCAGAUUUUAUAACCCGAGACGUCACUAAGAUGUGGCCCUUUAAGCCCGGCGAGAAACCUUUGAUUGCUUUUCUAGCCGCAGCCUCCGGCCCAAAGGUUUUCGGAAGCAAACGGCGUGGGUGACAUCAAUACACUUCGUCAUUCAACACAGAAUCAGAUUUUCCAGCUCAUCUUCAAUAAACAUGUAUUUGGGCCUCCACGGAAAGUCCACAUCUCCUGUUUUACCUGAGUCACAUGGAAGGAGUCAGAACUUACUCCCGGAGUCUCUUUCCUCACCUGACCCAAUGCACGCCCCUUACCUCCCUCUCUGACUCUGAGAUCCAGCUCCCUGAAUACCUAGUGAGCGAUCAGAAAACUUCCCCCAGGCUCACGCCUGUAAUCUCCGCACUUUGGGAGGCCAAGGCGGAUCACCUGAGGGCAGGAGUUCGAGACCAGCCUGGCCAGCAUGGUGAAACCCCAUCUCUACUAAAAAUACAAAAAUUAGCUGGAUAGCUGGACGUGGUGGCGGGCACCUGCAAUCCAGCUACUCAGGAGGCUGAGGCAUGAGAACACUUGAACCUGGGAGGCAGAGGUUGCAGUGAGCCAAGAUUGUACCACUGCGCUCCAGCCUGGACAACAGAAAAAGACUCCGUCUCAAAAAAUAAAAAAAAACUUCCCCCAUACUAGGCUUCCUAGUAUGCCUCAACUGAACUCCACUGUCCCUUACUGGUGUCUCAAGUGGAGGCUUUAGUCUCC
rnacentral:lncRNA from 10 species